UAUCGAUAUGAUAUAGCCUCAAUUAAGUUAGUCGCAGACGAAAAAUAAAACCUGUAAACAAUUUCUCUCUAUAUUUACUUGCUCAAGUGCCAGUGAAACGAACGAUAGAAAAAAAGAAGCAUUCAG